rnacentral:misc_RNA from 1 species
GAUGAAGAACGUAGCGAAAUGCGAUAAGUAGUGUGAAUUGCAGAAUUCAGUGAAGCAUCGAAUCUUUGAACGCACAUUGCGCCCGCCAGCACUCUGGCGGGCAUGCCUGUUCGAGCGUCAUUUCAACCAUCAAGCCCCAGGCUUGCGUUGGAGCCCUGCGGCUGCCGCAGCCUCCUAAAAGCAGUGGCGGGCUCGCUAUCACACCGAGUGCAGUAGAUUACUCUUCGCUCAGGGCGUGCAGCGGGUUCCGGCCGUGAAACCCCCUACUUUUAAAGGUUGACCUCGGAUCAGGUAGGAAUACCCGCUGAACUUAAGCAUAUCAAUAAGCGGAGGA